rnacentral:rRNA from 1 species
AUUGAACGCUGGCGGCAGGCCUAACACAUGCAAGUCGAGCGGAUGAAGGGAGCUUGCUCCUGGAUUCAGCGGCGGACGGGUGAGUAAGGCCUAGGAAUCUGCCUGGUAGUGGGGGAUAACGUCCGGAAACGGGCGCUAAUACCGCAUACGUCCUGAUGUAGAAAGUUGGGGAUCUUCGGACCUCACGCUAUCAGAUGAGCCUAGGUCGGAUUAGCUAGUUGGUGGGGUAAAGGCCUACCAAGGCGACGAUCCGUAACUGGUCUGAGAGGAUGAUCAGUCACACUGGAACUGAGACACGGUCCAGACUCCUACGGGAGGCAGCAGUGGGGAAUAUUGGAGAAUGGGCGAAAGCCUGAUCCAGCCAUGCCGCGUGUGUGAAGAAGGUCUUCGGAUUGUAAAGCACUUUAAGUUGGGAGGACGGGCAGUAAGUUAAUACCGUGCUGUUUUGACGUUACCAACAGAAUAAGCACCGGCUAACUUCGUG